rnacentral:lncRNA from 1 species
CUCGUACAAAAAUUAAUUGUGUUUGGGAAGUGGAUUGGUGUCCCUGUCUGUGUAAAAACAAUUAAACUGAAUGUACAUGGCAGCAACUUACAGACCUCCUACACGACUCUCAUGGGGGGUCGAGCCACGUGGGACCUCAUGUAAUAAAAAAUGACCAAAAAAAAUACUGACCCACCCAUUGUGAGAUAUCUGUAGGAUGCUUGUGAACGGCGAGCCUAUAUUCCCAGCACAAUUCGUGUAGAAAUCCUCCCAUCCCCAAAUUUGAAAUUCAAAUGGGUUAUCUUUGAAAUGAAGAAGUCUUUUUUACAUAAAAGAGACUUUUGUCACUCAUAUUAGGCUUCUUCCUCAAAUGAUCCCUUUGACUAGGCUCCAAUGAAAAUUCUCCACUCCAUUGACUCUUAUUCAGCUGUUCAAACUCGGAUGUGAUAGAGAAUUCUGUCGAUCCAUUGAGCCGUUUUGGUGAAAUAACAUUAUCACGCUGGCAUAUUUCGAAAUUUAAUUGAAUAGAACUGACAUCAUCACGUCUCUUUUUCUUGAUCUCGUCUUAAACAAUCGAGCAUGACAAAUGUGACUAGUCAAUACAUGCGGUAGUGCACAAAAAAUCCCACUUACUUUUUUCUAAUACUAUACAAUGCACCCUACCAAACAUGCAACUGACAUGCAAGCAUAUAUUUUGAUUAUAACUAAAACAAGCAAAGCCAAGGAAGACAAGAAGUGGACGUAAA